CCUAUAAUACCUGCCAUUGCUCCGUUGCAGAGUAUCGGGUUGCCAUGUAUCUUGGAAUCCAGGAAGUGUUGUCUUUCUGGAUCGAUGGUGUAAGAUGUGGUUACGUUGUUUCCCCGCUUCGUGGAUAGUGUCGAUGCUGCUGUAGUCUCGGCUCUGGGGGCUGCUUGGGUGGAUUUGUGCAAUGCUUGAUAGUGAGGGGGUUGGGCUCAGUGUGGCAGGAACGCAUCGUGCCUUGGCCGCCGCCGAGAGUGAGGCACGUCUGGGUGCUGAGUUGUGAUUCCAGCCCGCAUUUGGGCUUCGGGAAGAGUCGGUGAAGGGGGAGAAGUCGUUGGCGAUGGGGAUUUGCUGUGAGAUGUCUGUGCUUGUGAAGCUAGGUCCUCCGUGUGUGUUGUGGUCGUUGUUGUAGGGGCUGUGGGUGGUGGGGUCAAUGAGAUGUGUGCGGGUGGGAGGAAGGUUAAUGGGUAGGCGCUCGGUUGGAAUGUGAGGGAUGUGCCUGUGCAUGAGGAGGCUACCAUGAGUAGAUUGGUAAGUUGUUGUGGAUACAGUUGUGACUGCGAUGGAAAUGGUGAAGGGUUUGUGAGGCAGUGUGGUCUGAGGUGUGGAAGGCACCCGAGUCCAAAUCCCCGAUGAUUAAUGACAUUAGCUCUAUCCGGAAAUCCACAUGUGGACAAGAGAUAUAAAGUAUGAGGGAAAAGACUUGGGUGAUGGUUAUGUGUUUUGUAGGCUGCAUCGAAAUGAAACCUGUCCUGGUGAAAUUUGAUGAGAACCCGGAAAUCAUAAAAACGUGACCUUAAGAAAGCUCACUGCUAAAUGUAAUGUGCAACGCUCACUUUGUUACAUGAUUAUAUGAACUUUGUAUUGUCGAACAGGUAGAAAGCAAGGGGCCCCAUUACUAUAUCUUGCGAACUGCGCUUGGCGGCAACAUUCGUACUGCCAUCAUCUGAGCAAUGACUCCUGAUAAGGGAUUUUUCUGAAGAUAGUUGAAAUGCUCUGCACUUGUGAAGUAGAGCGAAGGGAUCAGCAAAUUGUGCCGAAGUGAUUGAAACUUUAACCAAUGCAACACUUCGUGAACAGCGGAAAAAAGGAGAUUGAUGUGAUUCUCCCAAAAUUGCAGGGGCAAGGAUCCAAACUUGCGGAGGACUUGGACAUGGAGAGAAAGAACCCACAGAAGACAUGCUGAAGAUUGAAUAGUGCAGAGAAAAACUGGUGCUAUAGCUUCAUGAAUAGAAAAAAAGGCUUUGAACGAUAAACGAAAAGAACAGGAGAGGAAGACUGAAUCUCAACAGCAUGGUCAUCAGCUUAGCUAUCGAUGACUUCGGCCGACUUCCUCAGAAGGAAAGCAGAGGGGAGACAAGGUGUCUGCGCGAGUAACGUCAGACUUGGACAUUUAGAGAAGAAAGAAAUCGACGAAAGAGUUUGAAUCACUAACAAACUUGCAAGGAAGAACUGUUCCCGUGUCUCUUUGAAGCAGCAAUAAUCUUGAACCUCCGCCGUCGUUUGGAAGUUUGCUUAAAGCUUGAAAACAAAACCCACCGAGAGGAAUAAGGAGAUGAGUGCGUCCAGCUAGAGCCCAGGAAUGGACAGAACCACCAAGAGAAAGAAGAAGAUGAAGUUGGACCAGUUAUAGAUUAUGAGCAAGAGCAUAACUUGGAGGUGCGGGCGGUGAAGACACCAGAAGGGCAUGUUGGGAUCGAUGCUUUAAUCACUAGGAACGACGGAGUUGUGUGGCGGGAGGGUGUGUAUAUCAGAAUAGGAAAGCAAGGAAAAUUGUCUCAAUCGUCUUCAGGACAAAGUCUCAUCAGUGAUGGCCACUGUGAAGAAAUGUCUGUUUAAAAUUCUGUUGCAUGAAUGCUACAACAUGCCCAGGUUGAAGUUCAAGCUAGCCAGGUUCCAGUUCGUUGUCCGCAGUCAGAUUGUUCAGAGGAACUCGAAUAUUCUCACGAAUGCAAACACAAUCCUACAAUGGAGGUAUUUGUCAUGCGCACAAAGCAGCUUACAAAAGCAAGUGUUCCCGAAGGAGAUGAAGCAUACUGCUUGUACGCAAAAUAUGCUCUACUUUUGAUGGAUUAGAAAAGCUUGGAUCCUACACGACAGAGCAUGUCGGCUUCACUCAACAAAUCGUCAAUGUAUCAGAACAUAGCAUGCGUUGAAUGCAGACGAAGCUUUUUUGGAGUUCCUCGGCAUUGGAACCGAACUUGUCAGGAAUAUCAAAACCUCUCUCCUGAUUGUGGUGAUGGCUAAAAGACAAAUCUUUACAAAUUGAUGCCGAGGGUUGUUACCACGUGAGGUGCUUGUGUGAAUAUGAGUUUUGUUGUACAUGUGGCAUAGAAUGGAAAAAUAAAGAAAGAACAUUGUCAAUA